UUUAAUAUGGCAGAUUAGUGCAAUGGAUUUAAACUCCAUAUAUAAAGAGUCUCAAACUUUUAUUAAAA
rnacentral:tRNA from 2 species